UUCUACUGUCCUAGUGGACAUGGCAUCUGCCUGGUAAGUGGAACACUGUGGGUUCGAUUCCCAUCCAUGGACA
rnacentral:tRNA from 1 species